rnacentral:rRNA from 1 species
AACGAACGCUGGCGGCAGGCUUAACACAUGCAAGUCGAACGGUCUCUUCGGAGGCAGUGGCAGACGGGUGAGUAAUGCAUGGGAAUCUACCGUUCUCUACGGAAUAACUCAGGGAAACUUGUGCUAAUACCGUAUACGCCCUUUUGGGGAAAGAUUUAUCGGAGAAUGAUGAGCCCAUGUUGGAUUAGCUAGUUGGUAGGGUAAAGGCCUACCAAGGCGACGAUCCAUAGCUGGUCUGAGAGGAUGAUCAGCCACACUGGGACUGAGACACGGCCCAGACUCCUACGGGAGGCAGCAGUGGGGAAUAUUGGACAAUGGGCGCAAGCCUGAUCCAGCCAUGCCGCGUGAGUGAUGAAGGCCCUAGGGUUGUAAAGCUCUUUCACCGGUGAAG